UGGGGAAUAUUGCACAAUGGAGGAAACUCUGAUGCAGCGACGCCGCGUGAAUGAUGAAGGCCUUCGGGUCGUAAAGUUCUGUCCUUGGGGAAGAUAAUGACGGUACCCAAGGAGGAAGCCCCGGCUAACUACGUGCCAGCAGCCGCGGUAAUACGUAGGGGGCGAGCGUUGUCCGGAAUUAUUGGGCGUAAAGGGUUCGCAGGCGGUCUGAUAAGUCAGAUGUGAAAGGCUAUGGCUUAACCAUAGUAAGCAUUUGAAACUGUCAGACUUGAGUUAAGGAGAGGAAAGUGGAAUUCCUAGUGUAGCGGUGAAAUGCGUAGAUAUUAGGAGGAAUACCAGUGGCGAAGGCGACUUUCUGGACUUAAACUGACGCUGAGGAACGAAAGCGUGGGGAGCAAACAGG
rnacentral:rRNA from 1 species